rnacentral:lncRNA from 1 species
ACCCCUUUGAUGCUAUUAUUUGCUUUAUAUAUGUGUUUUUCUGAAUGGAACACAUUGGGUCAUGGGAGAACAACAGGAAAGCAGCUCUUGAGGCUGAACUAAAACAAAUUGAGGUAAUUAGAAAAUAAAAUAUAUGUAAUGUGUUUAAGUUUUAUUUGUAUAGUAUGUAGAUGCUAUUUACGAUUUUAGUUCUAGAAUUUUAGAAAAAUUCAUUAAAUAUAAACUCACAACCUCAGUGAAGAUUCCAAAAUCUGUAAUUCGAUAUUUCUCUUCAUUGACGGAACUGCUCUUUACAACUAUGUUUUUUUUUUUUUUUUGUCGAUUUCAUUUGGAUUGAUUUUGUAAUGAGAGCAUGAAAAAUUUGAGAAGAAGAAGGGUGAGUAUAUAGAGAAAAUGAAGAACAAAAUAGCAUUGAUACACAAAACAACAUAAGAAAAUAAGGUUGUUAAUUGAAGCAAAGCAUAGAGAAGAAAGGCUGAAGGCAAAGGCAGAGGAAAUUGCUGCCAAACACAGAGCUACUGGAACUGCUCCUAAGAAGAUUUUCAAUUGUUUCUAAUUUUAAAUUAAACCAUAUAUGUUUACAAUAAUUUUAAAGCUGAAAUGUGCUUGAUUUUCUGUAAUGGUAUGCUCUUGUUUCCAUUUCUUAUUGACUUGUUAAAAGUUAAGAUGUUCAAAAAGCUAACCACAAAAGUUCUUAUAUUAGAUAUUUUUUAUCUCUGACAGACUAUCGGUUCCAAUUUGUAGGAACGGUGUAUUUAGGUACUUUAGAACCUCAACUACCUUCAAGUAGAUUGUACAUUGUAAGGAAAUCAUAGUAAGGUAUCCAUAAACAAUAUUCAUCUCUAUACAUUGAAUCUAGGAGAAGAAUUUGUGCAUGUCAUCAUACUCGGGUGUAUAAAGAUUCAGAAUUCAUUUAGAAGUUUUAGUUUUCUUAUUGUAAACAUAUUACGUUGCAUAUCUACAUUUGUGCUUAUUAUUUUGCAUGAUCUUAAACGUCCAAAUCCAAUCACUAAAGUUUGAUUACAUGAUGAAAAUGUGAUUCAGCCUUCAGAUGUAUGAUCAUAGAGAAUUGGGAAGCAUCCAAUAGAAAUGGAGCACGUCAGACAAUAAAGGUAUAUAUCUUAUGAAGGCUAACAACUCAAGAGGAUACCUCUAAUGUUAACAUGUAAAGAAGAUAAGAACAAUCUAACGAUAUAGUUAACAGGUAAUAUUUAUUUCAAAGUAUAUACUCUUACAACUUUAGUUUGUUGAAGUUAUUGGCUUUCCAUUUUUCACUCUUUGAUGAUUUGUCAUUAUUCAAUUUUAGUGGUUAUAUAUGCUAAAACAAACUAUUGAACUGUUGCUUUACGAAACAAGAUAAAUACUUGAAAACAAUCGAUCGAUACCAACAAUAUACCUGCUAGGAUGCUACAAUUUUUUUUUUAUCAUGGAUAGUAUGCUUAUACCGGUUGACUAUUGCUACUUGUGUAAAUUGCCAUGGGUGUUAUGUCUAUACUUAUUGCUAUUGCUAAAUUGCUACUUGUGUAAAUUCUCAUGGAUUUUAUGUUUGUACUCAUUGGUAGAGCUUUUUUUAAAACAAUCCAUAACAUUUUUUUUUUAAUCAUGGAUAGUAUGUUUAUACCGGUUGACUAUUGCUACUUGUGUAAAUUGUAAUGGGUGUUAUGUCUAUACUUAUUGCUAUUGCUAAAUUGCUACUUGUGUAAAUUGUUAUGGAUUUUAUGUUUGUAAAAAUUUUUAUAAGAAACUAGGAGACCUUUAAUUUUUGUCAAGCCAUAAAUGAUACAAGUUGUUCUAGUUUCAUUUUCCUAGUACCUUAAUAUUUCUUGGCUUCAUUAACUGAAGUGGAUUGCAAAUGAAAACUGUCUUCUUUCUGAUAUUUGUAGAUUUGAAAGUGUUUGACUCCUUAAGAUGGAAACUUUUCGGUUCUUGUUGGAUAACGUUUCUUCCAACCUUAGUUUCAUUCAUCUUGAUUAUUACUUAUGAUUACUUAUUCAAUAAUUUUCUUGUUGCUUACUUAUUUAUAUCCAGCUAAAUUUUCUAAAGAGUAAUGAUACAAGAGCUGUAAUUUGUAAAAAGUUCCAAUACUGUAGACCAAGUGGAUGUUAAGGUGAUGCUGUUAUUCUACAUGUGUGCUAUGCUAUGUAGUUGUUUCUCUUAUCGACGUAUGUGGUGAUAGAUAAUGCUCAAUGUUGAAAUUUUCUAUAAGAGUUGUACUCUCUUGUUCUAUGAUGAAUGCUAAUAUUCAUAUUGUCUUUGUAGGUUCAACUGGAGUCGACAACUUCAUGGGUUUACUUUCAAAGUACAUUUUCAGAGACGAACAUUCUCGAUUGGUCGUUUAUGCUUUAGCAGAAAAUCUUUUUAUAUGUAUUUUGAUGUUGUUUAAUAUAUUUUUUUAUUAAGGGCUGAAAUUCCGUACUUGUAAAUUGUUGGAACUUGAUUGGAAAUGUACGAAUAUUAUAAAUUGUAUUAUAGCGUAUAUAUAUUAAAGUGUCGGC